rnacentral:rRNA from 1 species
GUGAGGAAUAUUGGUCAAUGGGCGAGAGCCUGAACCAGCCAAGUCGCGUGAAGGAAGAAGGAUCUAUGGUUCGUAAACAUCUUUUGCAGGGGAAUAAAGUGCGGGACGUGUCCUGUUUUGUAUGUACCCUGAGAAUAAGGAUCGGCUAACUCCGUGCCAGCAGCCGCGGUAAUACGGAGGAUCCGAGCGUUAUCCGGAUUUAUUGGGUUUAAAGGGUGCGUAGGUGGUUUGAUAAGUCAGCGGUGAAAGUUUGCAGCUUAACUGUAAAAAUGCCGUUGAAACUGUCGGACUUGAGUGUAAAUGAGGUAGGCGGAAUGCGUGGUGUAGCGAUGACAUGCAUAGAUAUCACGCAGAACUCCGAUUGCGAAGGCAGCUUACUAAGCUACAACUGACACUGAAGCACGAAAGCGUGGGGAUCAAACAGGAUUAGAAACCCGGGUAGUCC